UACGUAGGGGGCUAGCGUUGUCCGGAAUCAUUGGGCGUAAAGAGCGUGUAGGCGGCCCGGUAAGUCCGCUGUGAAAGUCGGGGGCUCAACCUCGAAUGCCGGUGGAUACUGUCGGGCUAGAGUGCGGAAGAGGCGAGUGGAAUUCCUGGUGUAGCGGUGAAAUGCGCAGAUAUCAGGAGGAACACCGAUUGCGAAGGCAGCUCGCUGGGACGUUACUGACGCUGAGACGCGAAAGCGUGGGGAGCAAACAGG
rnacentral:rRNA from 1 species